CUUCAAACUUCCUCCCUAAUUCAGAUAUUUGCUUGUUUAAUCCCUUGAAGGCUUGUUUUACUGAUAUGUGAAUUUCCCUCAAUGAAAAAUGACUUUGAUUUGAUUGUCCCCAUCUGCCAACUUGUAACUGAGCGAUUUGAUUUAUCUGAAGAUCCUUCGAACUUCUUCUCUAAUUCAGAUAUUUGCUUGCUUAGUCCCCUGAAGGCUUGUUCUACUGAUAUGUAAAUUUCCCUCAAUGAAAAAUGACUUUGAUUUGAUUGUCCCCAUCUGCCAACUUGUAACUGAGCGAUUUGAUUUAUCUGAAGAUCCUUCGAACUUCUUCUCUAAUUCAGAUAUUUGCUUGCUUAAUCUCCUGAAGGCUUGUUCUACUGAUAUGUAA
rnacentral:lncRNA from 1 species